CCGUGCCCCGCCCCUGCCUCCCGCAACUGGCCCCAACCCACUCCUCGCCUCCAUCCCUCGGACCGGCCGCCAACUUCCUCCCUCGCGCCGGCCGUCAACCCCCUCCCGCGCACCGCCGCCAUCCUCCGCGCCGGUCUCCGCCUCCCUCCCGCGCGCCUGCCGCCGCCUCCUUCGCGUGCGCCACCACCGUGCCCCACGCCGGUCCUCGCCUACAUCUCGCGCGUCGGCUGCCGCUUUCCUCCCGCGCGCCGUCCGCCGCCUUUCUCCCCACGUCGCCCGUCUCCCUUCCCCCGCAACACCCUUCUCCCUCCGGCGACGCCGGCCAGCCCGCCCCGGUGAAUCCAGGGCUAGCACCCUCCCCGAGCUACUCCAGGCGCAGAUCCUGCCACGAGUGCUCCCCGCGCACGGAUCUGGCCGGGCUUCGGCGAGCAUAGCCUGCUACAACCUGGACUCCGGCGCUACUCCUCUCCUUGCACCCCGAUCCACCGGUGUUACCCCAGGCAUGGGAGCCAUCCCAGGGCCGAAAGAGGCUCGAGCUUCCUGCAGUUCUAGUAGAUAAGCUUGUCCGGCACAUCCAGCCAGGUAAGCACAUCCAGUCGCUGCACAGUUCGAGAACAGCAAAGUUGCGGCACCGAGUCGAACUUGCCGCUGCACCAUCUUCACCAAGUCGAACUUGCUAGAACUUGCUGUUGCUCAACUUGAUCUCUCGCGUAGCUCAUCCAGCAAGACUGCUGAAAUGGUAUGACUUCUUUGCAAAAAAAUCAGAUCUAGUAGUUUGUCUCAGAGUCAUUUCUUCUAUAUAGUACUGCACCUUGUGCUCCCUUCAUCCCUUGCACGUUCAGAUGAGAUUUUUUCGUGCAAUCAGACUUGGGCUAUGGCCCAAAAAUUUUGGUGAUCUUAGUUCUGAAUUGCUGGGCAUGCAACUCCUCGAUUUUUAAUUGCUAAACGAUACCUGAACAAUUGAUAAGGGAGCCGCUAUGCAUUACUAUUGAAACACAAGGUUUUUGCAUUUUCUCAAGAAAAUAGUAGUAGUCUGAACCAUGGACAAUGUUGAUUCUGCAUAUAGGUAAUGGAUAUACUGAAUCUGAAUAAUAAAUUUAUAAAAAUAGGUUAACUUCAUAGCAGCAUGCUCGCUUAUCUAUUGGCAUGCACAUGUACCAUCAGACCAAUUAAUCAGCAGCAUAAAGAUCAUCAUCAGAUGUCCAAGUCGAGCUCUGGCUGCAGUCUAAGUCGAAAUGCGACCAACAUCUUCACCAAGCGCUGCGCCCGUUGAUCAUCCACAAACGGCCAAAUCCCGGCACCGCUCGUGAUCUCCGCCUCCAUCAACUCCACUUCACCAAAGCUAUCAGUCCAAAUGAGGUGUAGCCGGUCCACGUGAUCUCCGACGUCGUAUUCUACCUCCAAAAAAUUUCUUUUUCAGUUCAAUUCUUCGUCACAGGUUCACUGCUAUCACCCGUUUUUGUGAAUCUCUAUUGAAAAUUAGCUCACGUUUUAGUGAAUGAGAAGCAGUUUGUACUUAUAGCUUGAUGCGUAUUCAUGAGUAGUUUAAAAAGUGUGCUUGUUUCCUGCUUUGCUAUAACACUUGUUAGAUUGCUAGCCAAAAAAGGUCAUGUAUUCAUAGAUUUGCUGCUUGUGUAGCAGCCCUGCAUGUAUUUUAUCAUCAGUUCAUAAAAGGAAAGCUGAAUCAGUGCAGUGUGUGUGUUAAAAAAAUCAGUUUUAUAUUGUAUGGUAGUUCAUUGUAUAGAAAAUUUGCAAUAGUUCCUGCUUUUCAGUUCAUCUACUUCCCCUUCGCAAGUCUAAUUAGUAGAAAUUCAAAUAUGAAAAAUAGCAUCCAUUUUGUUAUGUUCAUCAUAUUCAACCAAUUUUGUAUGUACAGACUUGCAUAUGUUGAUUAGCAGGGUAGAUCUCCGUAGCACAGUCGAGAUGUGUUCAGUCCAACCCCAUGGCAUUAGGGAGGUCGAGUUCGUCGCGAGCAGCAGUACAUGUUUGUUGGCUUACUCCAGCAGCCAGCCCAGCCUUCCCUCCCGGUCAUCAGUCCAACUUCUUGCUCCGACGCCGGUCACUCAAAGAGCCGCGUGCAGGCCACCCGUGUUUCACCUCCUGAUCCAGCUCAACUUUCUCCAUUCUUCAGCAUUUUUGAUUGUCGCAUGGUACUUGUAUUGGCUGCUAGACUUCAUGUAUUACUGCCAGGUACUAGGUGGUGGCAUUGCUUCACUUCUCUUGUUACGUUCUCUACGCCCAAAUUUGGAGGAUCAAGAAAAUAAAAUAUCAUUGUUUUGACAUACACCACUCAAAAGAAGUCAUUUCUGUUGAAAAAUUGUUUCGCUUGACAUGUACUUGCCAACAAUUAUGUAUAAUAAAUCAUGGCAUUGUAUGUAGAAAAAGAUAUAUUGUGUGUUCUGCUGUUGUAUUGAGUUGCUAUCUAUUGCUAA